AGGGGUUUAGGUUAAUAACAGACCAAGAGCCUUCAAAGCCCUAAGCAAGUACAACACCACUUAACCCCUG
ensembl:Mt_tRNA